GAUGAACGCUGGCGGCGUGCCUAAUACAUGCAAGUCGAGCGAACAGACGAGGAGCUUACUCCUCUGACGUUAGCGGCGGACGGGUGAGUAACACGUGGAUAACCUACCUAUAAGACUGGGAUAACUUCGGGAAACCGGAGCUAAUACCGGAUAACAUGUUGAACCGCAUGGUUCAACAGUGAAAGACGGUCUUGCUGUCACUUAUAGAUGGUUCCGCGUCGCAUUAGCUAGUUGGUAAGGUAACGGCUUACCAAGGCAACGAUGCGUAGCCGACCUGAGAGGGUGAUCGGCCACACUGGAACUGAGACACGGUCCAGACUCCUACGGGAGGCAGCAGUAGGGAAUCUUCCGCAAUGGGCGAAAGCCUGACGGAGCAACGCCGCGUGAGUGAAGAAGGUCUUCGGAUCGUAAAACUCUGUUAUUAGGGAAGAACAAAUGUGUAAGUAACUAUGCACGUCUCGACGGUACCUAAUCAGAAAGCCACGGCUAACUACGUG
rnacentral:rRNA from 1 species